GACGAACGCUGGCGGCGUGCCUAAUACAUGCAAGUCGAACGCUCUCGACCUUCGGGUCACAUGAGAGAGUGGCGAACGGGUGCGUAACACGUGAGAAACCUGCCCCGAAGACGGGAAUAACUCGAGGAAACUCGAGCUAAUACCCGAUGCCCUCCUUGGACCGCAUGGUCCGUUGAGGAAAUGCUCCGGUGCUUCGGGAGGGUCUCGCGGCCUAUCAGCUUGUUGGUGAGGUAACGGCUCACCAAGGCAUCGACGGGUAGCUGGUCUGAGAGGACGAUCAGCCACACUGGGACUGAGACACGGCCCAGACUCCUACGGGAGGCAGCAGUAGGGAAUCUUGCGCAAUGGGCGAAAGCCUGACGCAGCAACGCCGCGUGGGGGAUGACAGCCUUCGGGUUGUAAACCCCUUUCAGCAGGGACGAAAAUGACGGUACCUGCAGAAGAAGGUCCGGCCAACUACGUG
rnacentral:rRNA from 1 species